AAAGCGGCGAACGGGUGAGUAACACGUGGGUAACCCACCCUUGGUACCGGGAUAGCCCGAGGAAACUCGGAUUAAUACCGGAUGGCCCAACAGCUUCUCGGAGCGGUUGGAAAAGGUAGCUUCGGCCUCCGACCAAGGACGGGCCCGCGGCGGAUUAGCUUGUUGGUGAGGUAACGGCUCACCAAGGCUUCGAUCCGUAGCUGGUCUGAGAGGACGAUCAGCCACACUGGGACUGAGACACGGCCCAG
rnacentral:rRNA from 1 species